GAUGAAGAACGUAGCGAAAUGCGAUACUUGGUGUGAAUUGCAGAAUCCCGUGAACCAUCGAGUCUUUGAACGCAAGUUGCGCCCGAAGCCACUAGGCCGAGGGCACGCCUGCCUGGGCGUCACACGCCGUUGCCCCCCCAUCUACUCCUUCGGGAUUGCGGGGGGGCGGAUGAUGGCCUCCCGUGCGCCUAGCCGCGCGGUUGGCAUAAAUACCAAGUCCUCGGCGACGCACGCCACGACAAUCGGUGGUGGCGAAACCUCGGUUGCCCGUCGUGUGCGUUCGUCGCGCAUCGAGGGCUCGAAAAAAUGCUCGGCUCCGGCUGGGCUUUCAACGCGACCCCAGGUCAGGCGGGGUUACCCGCUGAAUUUAAGCAUAUCAAUAAGCGGAGGA
rnacentral:misc_RNA from 1 species